UACGAAGGGGGCUAGCGUUGCUCGGAAUUACUGGGCGUAAAGGGCGCGUAGGCGGGUCGUUAAGUUGGGGGUGAAAGCCCAGAGCUCAACUCUGGAAUUGCCUUUGAGACUGAGUGGCUUGAGUACGGGAGAGGUGAGUGGAAUUCCCAGUGUAGAGGUGAAAUUCGUAGAUAUUGGGAAGAACACCGGUGGCGAAGGCGGCUCACUGGCCCGUAACUGACGCUCAUGCACGAAAGCGUGGGGAUCAAACAGG
rnacentral:rRNA from 1 species